GAAGAAUCAAGUAUGGGAGAAUCAAGUUGUGGGUCUUGCUGCAUUAAUGUCUAGGAUAACCUUUUCUUAGCAGCUCAACCAAGGCAACUUUUUUUUGUCUUAACGUCGGUGUUCUAAAAUUUUUAAUUAUUUAGAAAAUAUCCUAAUAUAUUCAUUAUAUAUUUAUUUGAUAAAAAAAUUCUCAUCUUUCGAAAAAUGAUUUUUGAUAACUUCUUAAUUAGUAGUUGAAUUGAUUAGUUCCGAAUCUUAUUUAUACAACCACG
rnacentral:lncRNA from 1 species